AUUGAACGCUGGCGGCAGGCCUAACACAUGCAAGUCGAGCGAGCGGCGGACGGGUGAGUAAUGUCUUGGAAACUGCCUGAUGGAGGGGGAUAACUACUGGAAACGGUAUCUAAUACCGCAUACCAUCAGAUGUGCCCAGAGGGGAUUAGCUCGUUGGUGGGGUAAUGGCGCACCAAGGCGACGAUCCCUAGCUGGUCUGAGAGGAUUACUAGCCACACUGGAACGGAGACACGGUACAGACGCCUACGUGAGGAAGCAGUGGGGAAUAUGGAACAAGGGGCGCAAGCCUGAUGCAGCCAGGCCGCGUGUGUGAAGAAGGCAUGCGGGUUGUAAAGCACUUUCAGCGAGGAGGCGUUACUCGCAGAAGAAGCACCGGCUAACUCCGUGCCAGCCGCCGCGGUAAUUC
rnacentral:rRNA from 1 species